rnacentral:rRNA from 1 species
GACGAACGCUGGCGGCGUGCCUAACACAUGCAAGUCGAACGGAAAGGCCCUGCUCUUGUGGGGUGCUCGAUUGGCGAACGGGUGAGUAAAACGUGAGUAUCCUGCCCUUGUCUUUGGGAUAACUUUAGGGAACUGGGGCUAAUAUCGGAUAGGAGCUCUUGCUGCAUGGUGUGGGAUGGAAAGUUUCGGCGGUUGGGGAUGGACUCGCGGCUUAUCAGCUUGUUUGUGUAGUAGUUGCUUACCAAGGGUUUGACGGGUAGCCGGCAUGAGAGGUUGGACGGGGACAUUGGGCCUGAGAGACGCACCAGAAUGCAACGGGACGCAGCAGUGGAGAGCAUGGCGGAAUGGGGCGACGCGUGAUGCAGCAACGCCGGGUGCGGGAUAACCGCUUUUGGGUUGUAAACCGCUUUCGACUGUGACGUAGAGGGAGUGACGGUAAUGAGUAAGGAAGCAACGGCUAACUACGUG